AGACGGGACCCCGCACAAGCAGCGGAGCGUGUGGUUUAAUUCGAUGCUACACGAAGAACCUUACCAGGGUUUGACAUGCAAGUGGUAGGAAUCCGAAAGGUGACCGACCCUUCGGGGAGCUUGCACAGGUGCUGCAUGGCUGUCGUCAGCUCGUGUCGUGAGAUGUUCGGUUAAGUCCGCUAACGAGCGCAACCCUCGUCGUGUGCUAUACGUGUCACACGAUACUGCCGGUAUCAAGCCGGAGGAAGGUGGGGAUGAUGUCAAGUCAGCAUGGCCUUUAUAUCCUGGGCUACACACACGCUACAGUGGCAGAUACAAUAGGUCGCGAAACCGCGAGGUGGAGCCAAUCCUCAAAGUCUGUCUCAGUUCAGAUUGUAGGCUGCAACUCGCCUGCAUGAAGCCGGAGUUGCUAGUAAACGCAGGUCAGCUAUACUGCGUUGAAUACGUUCCCGGGGUUU
rnacentral:rRNA from 1 species